rnacentral:rRNA from 1 species
UACGUAGGUGACCAGCGUUGUCCGGAUUUACUGGGCGUAAAGAGCGCGCAGGCGGUCGUUCAAGUCGAGUGUGAAAGCCCCCGGCUCAACUGGGGAGGGUCACUUGAUACUGAUCGACUCGAAGGCAGGAGAGGGAAGCGGAAUUCCCGGUGUAGUGGUGAAAUGCGUAGAUAUCAGCAGGAAUACCCGUGGCGAAGGCGGCCCCCUGGGCCGUUUCUGACGCUGAGGCGCGAAGGCUAGGGGAGCGAACGGG